UCAUUUAUAGUGCUUAUUACCAUUUCUGGAAUAAUUCUUUAAAGUCUCUGACAGCUAUUUCCUCUUCUUUGGAAUACUCUUAUAGGAGACUGUAAUUCCCUUGAGCCUUUCAUGAGAAAAUGAGCCAGGGGUCUUACAAAGCAGGGAGGCAGCCGGGGAAUUUAGCUGUUUUAGAAGUUACGUGAGGUGGGGCUGUGGGCUCCACCUGCACGUUCACCCUGCUGCUUCGGGAGGGCGCUGCCCUGCCCUGGUCUGCAAAGCAUGAGGAGGGCCCGUAGUGGACAUACAGGGGAAGAAACAGGAUUUUUUCCACCCUGUUUCAGGGCUGUAUAUGAACAUCUAGUGGUGUGGGAAGUCACUCUUCACGCUGUAACUGGGCCCUGCUGCACCAUAUCUGUUUCUUGCCGUAUGCGGACAUUUACAUUCGUCAUGUUCCUGUAUGCCGUGGGCUUUGCUUCGUGGAAGUUAAAUGCCAAACAACCCUGCUGACAUUGCUCGGAGUGCCUCGGAGUGCUACCAAGUACUGCUGCUGUGCUUUCAUCGAGCGUUUCGUCUUUGCUUAUGCCCCUGUCUUGCUGCUGCUGAUUUGGCUGAGAUGUUUGCCCAAACUUCACAGGCCGGGAGCAGGCUCACAUCACCCAAGUGGCUGGAAUUAAACUCCACGUUCUUAAGGAAAGGGCUGGUUUUUCACUGCAAGGAUCGCACAUCUGGGAACAUCUGGAGUUCAACCGGUGUCGCUGCAUCUGACUGGGCCCACUCAGACUCCGGCAACGCAAAGCACGUGGGAGAGGCUCACAUCACCUCAUUAUCAGCCUGUCAGUGCCUAAUUGAACAGAUGCAGUGCUGCGCGUGUGUGCAGCAUUACUUAUACAUUCACCUAAUAUAUAUACAUAUCAGAGGUGCUUGAUGGGCCUUUUAUUACAACGCCAGAAUAUAGCACCGUUGCUAAAGCUGUCAGGGCUUAUAUCGCUUGAAAAAUAAUUGUCCAGUCCCUGGUUAGUGCUUAACACAACAGUUUUCCUAGGCCAUAAUAUAAAGCAUGACAGUGAUGUACUGCUGCUGCACCUCGUAACUGAAUUCCAGGGCCCACGUUUCUCGGGUUUUACCAGGGACGUUCACGUCGAGAUUGCAAAUAGCCAUGCAAACCCCGCUGCCAGAGCUCCCUGGUGAAGGAGGCGAUGCCGAUCACAUCUGCCUAAAUGCUCCGAUCCCACACCGGUCACACCGAUGGAAAUAUUGCAGCGGGCAUUGAGUUUGCUGCAUGGGGCACUGAGCACCCGGGGCAGCCGGGGGCAGUUCUGGGUCUGGGCUGCUCUGGAGCCCAGAUCUGACACAUGGAGGCUUGCAAGGUAAGUGGGAACCACUGGGAAUUGACAGCAAACUUGUAUGAAGUUUUCCUAAAUUGUGCAUGCUUGUUUUUAACUCUGGCUUCCUUUACAGAUGUUCUUAUAAACAGAAAACAGCUUGUUAACAGUAGCAAAAUGGAAAUUUCCUCUGUGCGAUAUAAAUUUCAGUGAUAUACAUGAAUAUAAAACAGUGUAAAACUACACUCUUCUCUGCAAAAACAAAUGUGCCUUUACAUUACACAGGAAAAACUAAUACAUUACAGUCAUUAGGAAAUAUAUAACGUUGACAUUAAUUGAAGUGAAAUGAGGGUGUGCUUGAACUAAUAGAACUGAGGGAAAACAGGUGAAUUGUGUUUUGUAACUGAUGGAGCUACUCUGUACGAGAAUAAUUUCUGUGCUUGGUGUGACUGUAAUCCAUCACCAGCAUGGUAAGUGAACAGGAUUUUGGUGAAAGCAUCUACCCAGAAGUAGAUUUUUGUGUAGCUUACCCAAAUGCCCAUGCUCACAUGUCACAGCACAAAGGAACAAAUAUACUUCCCAUGUAUUUUCAGCAAUGGUACCAGUGCACGUUCCCUUACUGGAGAUAGAGGUGGACUCAAGGAUAUGUACCAUUGACAGAAAAUUAAUAGUAUGUAUUUCUAAAAUGCCUCUGUAUUUUGGUAGUGUAAAUUUUAUACUUCUUUCAAGCAUAGCUGUCCUUUUGGUGACAUCAUGUUUUUUAUUGUAUUUUACUGUCCACUACCACGCAAUACAUAGAUCUUCUACUCACCAAAAGAGGACGUGCUCUUGUCAACUAAGGCAGUUAUUCAGCAUCCUGAAGGUAAGGGACGUGUAAUGGCUCGGUAGAGAGAUGUUUAGGAACUCCACUGCUGACAGUGCAACUUUUGUGUUACAUUUUAUACGAUUGAGAAAUUAUCAACCUGACAUUAAAACAAGUCUUGCUUUAAGGGGGUAUAAUUUUUGCUAAUGGAUUGCUACGUUUCAUUUCCAUAUUUUUUUUCCAGCAAUUUUAUGCUUAAAUAUCAUUGCCCCUUUGAAUUAUGUGAGGCUCUUUUUGCUGUGAGGUUCCAGCAAUUUGCCUUUGCUAGCUUCAUGUGUGUAAUUAGUUUAAUUAGCACUACAGCUUUAAUGGGAGCAUUGGUGGAUGCCGCAUGCACUCUGUUCUUCACUGGACAAAGUCAAAUGUUGUGUUUCUUAAUCAGCUGCAGCUGAAGUGCUCCAGCCCUUACAAGGUGUUGUGCCUGAGCAGAGCUGACACAUUUUGCCACAUUUUCAGAAAGCACUAUAUUCUUUAUUUUGGCUAAAAUAUCUGCCUCCAUCUGGCCUGUGCUUAGGAAAUGUGCGUGCACGUUGGGCAUGCUCAGUGAACUCCUUUUCACGGCUUUCAAAAUACGUUACCUUGGCCUUUCAGGUAAUCCCUAAUUAUUAAUGGCACACAAAACAAAUAGUAUUCUUGCUGUCUGGGAGCAGUGCCUGCAUAAUGGAUGGGGAGAAUCAGACGCAAUGCAUCUUCUUAAUACAGAAUAAAGAUAUUUCACGAAACCCA
ensembl:lncRNA